rnacentral:tRNA from 1 species
UUAAUUAAAUCCAAAAAGCGGAAAAUUGUUGUUAACAAUUGAAUUGAAAAUAAUUUCUAAUUUAA